rnacentral:rRNA from 1 species
CCUACGGGAGGCAGCAGUGAGGAAUAUUGGUCAAUGGACGAGAGUCUGAACCAGCCAAGUAGCGUGAAGGAUGACUGCCCUAUGGGUUGUAAACUUCUUUUAUAUGGGAAUAAAAUGUUCCACGUGUGGGAUUUUGUAUGUACCAUAUGAAUAAGGAUCGGCUAACUCCGUGCCAGCAGCCGCGGUAAUACGGAGGCUCCGAGCGUUAUCCGGAUUUAUUGGGUUUAAAGGGAGCGUAGGUGGAUUGUUAAGUCAGUUGUGAAAGUUUGCGGCUCAACCGUAAAAUUGCAGUUGAAACUGGCAGUCUUGAGUACAGUAGAGGUGGGCGGAAUUCGUGGUGUAGCGGUGAAAUGCUUAGAGAUCACGAAGAACUCCGAUUGCGAAGGCAGUUCACUGGACUGCAACUGACACUGAGGCUCGAAAGUGUGGGUAUCAAACAGGAUUAGAUACCCGAGUAGUC